rnacentral:rRNA from 1 species
AACGAACGCUGGCGGCAUGCCUAACACAUGCAAGUCGAACGAGAUCUUCGGGUCUAGUGGCGCACGGGUGCGUAACGCGUGGGAAUCUGCCCUUUGGUUCGGAAUAACAGUUGGAAACGACUGCUAAUACCGGAUGAUGACGAAAGUCCAAAGAUUUAUCGCCAGAGGAUGAGCCCGCGUAGGAUUAGCUAGUUGGUGUGGUAAAGGCGCACCAAGGGGACGAUCCUUAGCUGGUCUGAGAGGAUGAUCAGCCAAACUGGGACUGAGAAACGGCCCAGACUCCUACGGGAGGCAGCAGUGGGGAAUAUUGGACAAUGGGCGAAAGCCUGAUCCAGCAAUGCCGCGUGAGUGAUGAAGGCCUUAGGGUUGUAAAGCUCUUUUACCCGGGAUGAUAAUGACAGUACCGGGAGAAUAAGCUCCGGCUAACUCCGUGCCAGCAGCCGCGGUAA